CCUCCCCUCCCAUCAACUUGAGGCCAUUUCCCCUUAUCCAGUCACCAGAGAGAAGAGACCAACCCCGCUCGCUCUCACUGCAGUCACCUUUCAGAUAUUCUUUAGGCCUUUUCAUACAAUGCAGCAAAUUCAAGGGAGGCUGGGAGAGAUUACAAAAAACGCUGGAACGUGAACUGUGAUUUUUUGUCUCCACCCACUGAGAGACAGAUGAGGCUGAGUAUGUAACUUCCCAGUCAGUCUUGGUAGGACUGCACAGCAAAUGGCACUGUGCCAUUCUGUCCAUGGCAGCCUGUUGCAGCUGCCGUGCUCUGCUGCCUCACUUUCAGAAUCUAUUCUAUGAUGUUCUAAGCUGAAUUCUGAAACAUAAGUAUUUUUUUCUUAACCUCUAGCCUUGAAUUUCUGUCUUUAUGAUCAAGCUUUUCGAUGUUUCCCAUGCACUUCAGACAAAACAAAUAUACGUUCCAUUUAUAGCUGCUGAAAAAUUCACAUCUAUAAACAUCAACUGCAUCAGCAGAAGGGCUGCCACAGUAUUGACACACAGACAUUCAUUAACUCGUGGAAUCAAAACAGCAUUCCUUGUGCGCCCUCAUGGGAAAUUAGAUCUAGAGGAAGCACUUGAAAAAGCAAGCGUCACCGAGGACUCUUCUCCCAAAGAGUUAAGUAGCUAUCUCUUGUGUUCCCACUUUGCCAUGUACGUGCAUUUAGUUCAUACACAGCAUGCCAUUUACUCUUCUGGUAGAUGGCUGUGAGCCAGCGUAGAGGUCAGUGUCAGCAUUUUCAUUAAUCACAGGAAGCUGCUGUGGAGAAAGGCUCUGCCAUUUGCUCAGCAACCUCGUUAGCCAUAGGGUUAUUUACCUCUCUGGUAAUGGUGCCAUUUAAUUCUGCUGUAAUGAACGCACAAUGAAGAAGCACUUCGUCAUCGGGAGAAGACUAUCAACAGAAAUAUAAUGCUGCUUCUUAUAUCUUACUGAAGUUUCAAUUCUGCCUGCAACAUUAUGUACAUUAAAAACAAUAUGGACAAGACAGACAGCCUCUGCUCUAACGCCAUGCACAUAAUACAGUGUGAGAUAACAAGUAAAGGUCCUAAACAGAAGGAAAACCACUGGAAAGCCAAGUGGGCAGAAUCAAGUUCUCCUUCAGUCAAGUCACACAGUUUCACUUCUCUGAUUUCCUGCAAGCCUUCUGGACUACAGAAAGCAGGAAUGUGGCAAGGAUUAAGUCUGGACAGUGGCAUGGGCAGCAGCCUGCUGCUAAGGGGGAAGGGAAACUUGGAAUAGCCUGAAUGUAGCAUGCAGAGCAGGAAAAUCACUUGGCUGGGAUGCUCAGCAUGGCAAGGAAAGCAAUACAAUGCACUGGUGCUUGAAAACACAGCAGAAUUAUCCAAAGGGAGUGGGAGUGCCUUCCUUGCUCUUGCACACACAUCUCAGACAUCAUAUGAUUACAGGCUGAACCUUAGACAUGAUUACAGGCUGAGCCUAUCUGUGUUCGCAUUCAAAUGAUGGAAGAGCAGAAAUAAGUGAAUUUAUCUUCAGAAAAUAUAUUCCUAAGUCCAAGAUAAAUUUUCAGUUGGAGAAUCUGGAUUCAAUGUUUCUUCACCCAGAAAGAAGCACCUCGUCUACGUAGAGAUUUACAUGUCCAGUCCCUGUUGCUGAAGCUAAUCCAGCAUUUCGCUGAUCUUUAAAUGAAUUAGGAAUGGAGUAAGAGCUUUUCUUUUUCUGUGUUAACAAGACUCCCUUUUUUGGCAAAGUACUAAGUAUUACUAAACUACAGUCAGCUGUUCCUGAUAGGAUCACAAAGAUAAUUUCCUUGUUUAUCUGACUUUUUCUGAUGGAUGAUAUCCAAGAUUUCUUUUUUUCUCA